rnacentral:rRNA from 1 species
CCUACGGGUGGCAGCAGUGAGGAAUAUUGGUCAAUGGGCGGAAGCCUGAACCAGCCAAGUCGCGUGAGGGAUUAAGGCCCUGCGGGUCGUAAACCUCUUUUGCCGGGGAGCAGAGGGCCGGACGUGUCCGGGCCGGGAGAGUACCCGGAGAAAAAGCAUCGGCUAACUCCGUGCCAGCAGCAGCGGUAAUACCGAGGAUGGGAGCGUUAUCCGGAUGUAGUGGGUUUAAAGGGUGCGUAGGCGGGCAUUUGAGCCGGAGGUCUAAUGUCGGGGCUCAACCCCGGCCUGCCGUCGGAACUGGGUGCCUUGAGUGGGCGAGAAGUAUGCGGAAUGCGUGGUGUAGCGGUGAAAUGCAUAGAUAUCACGCAGAACCCCGAUUGCGAAGGCAGCAUACCGGCGCCCUACUGACGCUGAGGCACGAAAGUGCGGGUAUCGAACAGGAUUAGAUACCCGAGUAGUC